UGGGGAAUAUUGCGCAAUGGGCGGAAGCCUGACGCAGCGACGCCGCGUGGGGGAUGAAGGCCUUCGGGUUGUAAACCUCUUUCAGCAGGGACGAAGCUUUCGGGUGACUGUACCUGCAGAAGAAGCACCGGCUAACUACGUGCCAGCAGCCGCGGUAAUACGUAGGGUGCAAGCGUUGUCCGGAAUUAUUGGGCGUAAAGAGCUCGUAGGCGGUUUGUCACGUCGGAUGUGAAAACCCGGGGCUUAACCCCGGGCCUGCAUUCGAUACGGGCUGACUAGAGUUCGGUAGGGGAGACUGGAAUUCCUGGUGUAGCGGUGAAAUGCGCAGAUAUCAGGAGGAACACCGGUGGCGAAGGCGGGUCUCUGGGCCGAUACUGACGCUGAGGAGCGAAAGCGUGGGGAGCGAACAGGAUUAGAUACCCUGGUAGUCCACGCCGUAAACGUUGGGCGCUAGGUGUGGGUUCCCUUCCACGGGAUCCGUGCCGUAGCUAACGCAUUAAGCGCCCCGCCUGGGGAGUACGGCCGCAAGGCUAA
rnacentral:rRNA from 1 species